GUCUCAAAUUUUGUGGAUGAUACAAUAUGGUUGAUUGUUUAUGUGAUUAAAUGGUGUGAAUUGUGAGAGUUAUGAUUAAUGCAGCUACCUACCGCGAUGAGUUAAAGGAAAUUGCUCCCUAUACUCUUUUGAAGUGCUCGAGUGACGCUACAACCUUGAGAAUUAGAGUCCAAGUAAGGAGUGUGUACAUUGCAGGUAGAAGCCAUCAAAAGGCCUUUACUUUUAUGCAUAUAGGAUCAGAAUCACCAACCUAUCCGAUCGCCCGGUGCAACUUCUUAGACGUCAUUGGAUCAUAACUGAUGCCAAUGGAAGAACUGAGACAGUCCAGAAGGUGACUAUGAGAUGAAGCACAUAGAUAAAGUUGGAACUCGGACGUAGAAUGUAGCUAUUGCCCCCUUUGCUCUGUCCACAUUUGGAGAUGAUAUUAGUGUAGAGAUUAUCCAACUCAUAUGCAGUUUCUAGUUGUAGAGAUUAUGAUGUUAUUUAGAUAUAUUUGACACUUUGAUUAUGGAUGGAUAAAGUUAUUUGGAUGAUUAAAUAUUUAUAUAUGUUUUGGUUGUGGAA